GGAUUUGUCUUUGAAUCUCCGCCGGAUUAACGCCGUGAUCCGGCUGUAACAUCCGUUGAUCUACAAACAUCUGCAGCGGCGGUUCGAUCACCGCCGGUUCCUGUACCGGCUGAGCCACCUUCACUGGAGAUGGAGGAAUCGGAGCUGCUUUCUCCGAUCCAAACAAAAAAUCAGCGGCGGAAACAGAUUUCUCCGAUUCAGGUCGGCUAGGGAUAGGAUUAAGCGUAUCUCGAUCGGAUUUAGUGGAACCUUCGGAGCCGAAACCGCCGGAGAUGGGAGAAGAAGGGAAGAGAAACAAACGCAUCCGAGCUGGGUUAGAGGACAUACGAAGCAAUCGAUCGUACUCAUGCAUCAUGUGCUCCAGAUCUUCAUCGUUAGUCACCGAGAUCAACGCAUCUAAAUCCUCACCUGGAAGCUGAUACUUGAACGAUAUCUCACCAACUCCUCCUCCUCCCUCACCGCCACCGCCACCGCCACCGCCGUUGCAGACGGCGGAGAGUUUGGAGACCAAAGAGGGAAAUCUGAUGCCGCGAUCUACGGACAUGAUUUUGGUAUCUCCGUUAACAUAAGUAAGCUGGUUAUCAUGUGGACGCGGCUGGAUCUUUCCGCCGUAACUGCACAUGAGCUUCACCUUGUAGCUCUGCUGUUGUUGCUGCUGGUGGUCCUCCCAUGGCGGCGGGUUCUCAAACUCGACGUCGCGAGAUCUAGGCGACGAUUCAGCUGAAUCUGGAUACGAGUUGUACGAGAAUUUAUCCAUUUCUUUCUAAGAUAUUUUCGAAAUUUUAUCUUCGUCUUCGUUGCUUAAUUAAUCCAUGAAAAAAAAAA